GGUAAAUUUUGCCUCAGUAUCCCAUUUCUUUUCAACAAGAGAGUUUCAGCUUUGAAUCAUUUCACUGGGGUAUAAUCUGUUCUACAUGGUUCUCAGUCUUGAAGAUUCCUGAUACAUCCUGAAGGCACCAGGAUUACCUUAUAUCCAGAACUGUUUGCCCAGACCUGUGGAAGAUUUGCCUUGGGAAGGUAGCCAUUUUGGGAACCUCUGCAUCCAAACGCAUUUUAGGCCAGUGUCUAAGACCACAAAGUGUCAAAUGCUAAGCUGACCAAGUAUUGUGUGAAGACCCGACUGAACUCUUUAAUUCAAAAGGCUAAAUGAAGGAGAGACAUCACUGAAGUGUUGGAUUCUGUGGCAUGUAAGAGACCUGGGAAGUAGAAACGCAGGUGGAUGUGAAUCGUCUGGAAGCCUCAAGAAUGCUCCAGAUGCCUCUUCUCCAUACAGAAGCAAAAGCUCCAACAACCUUUCAGGAGAAAUAAUUUGUAUAGAGGCUGUAGUUAAUCAGUAAAUAAGAGAAGCAACUAGUUUCCAAAAGCUCAGUGGUGUUCAAAACAGGAUGCUACACUUUUGUUUAUUUAUUUCAUAGUGUUUUGUAUUUCAUACAAAGAAGGAAAAACUAAGACUAAUAUCUGUAAUAUCGUGCUCUGUAAACUGCACUUUGUUUCUUUGUAUCUUUUCCCUUUCUGGCAAGGAACUAAAAUGACACAGAUUUUC